CCAGACUCCUACGGGAGGCAGCAGUGGGGAAUAUUGCACAAUGGGGGGAACCCUGAUGCAGCGACGCCGCGUGGGCGAGGAAGUAUUUCGGUAUGUAAAGUCCUAUCGGCAGGGAAGAAGAAAUGACGGUACCUGAAUAAGAAGCACCGGCUAAAUACGUGCCAGCAGCCGCGGUAAUACGUAUGGUGCAAGCGUUAUCCGGAUUUACUGGGCGGAAAGGGAGCGCAGGCGGCGCGCCAAGUCUGAUGUGAAACCCCGGGGCUCAACCCCGGGCAUGCAUUGGAAACUGGCGGGCUGGAGUGCCGGAGAGGUAAGCGGAAUUCCUAGUGUAGCGGUGAAAUGCGUAGAUAUUAGGAGGAACACCAGUGGCGAAGGCGGCCUGCUGGACGACAACUGACGGUGAGGCGCGAAAGCGUGGGGAGCAAACAGGAUUAGAUACCCUCGUAA
rnacentral:rRNA from 1 species